CACCUCUAGCAUUACAAGUAUUAGAGGCAUCGCCUGCCCAGUGACUGUAGUUAAACGGCCGCGGUAUACUGACCGUGCAAAGGUAGCAUAAUCACUUGUUCCUUAAUUAGGGACUUGUAUGAACGGCUGAACGAGGGUCCAACUGUCUCUUAUUUUUAAUCAGUGAAAUUGACCUUCCAGUGAAGAGGCUGGAAUUACUAAAUAAGACGAGAAGACCCUAUGGAGCUUAAAUUUAUAAACUUAUUUAUUAUAAUAGUACUCCUAAUGGAACAAAAACAGUAUUAUAAGCUUAAAAUUUCGGUUGGGGUGACCUCGGAGAACAAAAAAUCCUCCGAACGAUUAUAACAUAGACCAACAAGUCAAAGUAACUUAACCUUCUAAUUGACCCAAAAAUAAUUUGAUCAACGGACCAAGUUACCCUAGGGAUAACAGCGCAAUCCUAUUUAAGAGUUCAUAUCGACAAUAGGGUUUACGACCUCGAUGUUGGAUCAGGACAUCCCAAUGGUGCAGAAGCUAUUAAUGGUUCGUUUGUUCAACGAUUAA
rnacentral:rRNA from 1 species